CCUACGGGUGGCAGCAGUGAGGAAUAUUGGUCAAUGGGCGAGAGCCUGAACCAGCCAAGUCGCGUGAGGGAUGACGGUCCUAUGGAUUGUAAACCUCUUUUGUCGGGGAACAAAGGCGUCCACGUGUGGACUGAUGACUGUACCCGAAGAAAAAGCAUCGGCUAACUCCGUGCCAGCAGCCGCGGUAAUACGGGGGAUGCGAGCGUUAUCCGGAUUUAUUGGGUUUAAAGGGUGCGUAGGCGGUCAGUAAAGUCAGCGGUAAAAAUGCGGGGCUCAACGCGGUACAGCCGUUGAAACUGGCAGCAUUGAGUGGGCGAGAAGUAUGUGGAAUGCGUGGUGUAGCGGUGAAAUGCAUAGAUAUCACGAAGAACUCCGAUUGCGAAGGCAGCAUACUGGCGCCCUACUGACGCUGAGGCACGAAAGCGUGGGUAUCGAACAGGAUUAGAUACCCCGGUAGUC
rnacentral:rRNA from 1 species